AAGGUAUAUAUACCUGGUAAUUAGAGGCUCUGAUAUUUGUAACCAUCAAUUAGUACUCUAAUUGUUUCUUCCUAAGUAAUGUAUCUUCUUUCAGAUAUCACUACAGAACGAUAUGGUAUUUGGGUGUGAUUUUACAGGAUUGUGUUUGUUUGACCACAGCAUGGAACCACAGCAUUGUAAAAGUUCUGAAGUUUCCAUCCCUUCUGUCCACUCAGAUGUCCAGCUUAGUGUCUGCAAUCCUGAUGGAUGACUGUCCCAUAAUGCUUUCUGACAGAAAGCGGCAUCUGUUGCCAUGGGAGAUUUCUUCAGUUUGUGCUGGAAAUUUCAAGGAUGAAACAAAGAGAUAGAGGUAGAAUGACUUAUAUGAGGGAACGAAUGAUUUCAG